GGAUAUGUAGCUCAGUUAAGUAGAGCGGAGUGCUCUUAACACUCAGGUCGUGGGUGCGAUUCCCACCUUAUCCU
rnacentral:tRNA from 1 species